CGGCGUGCUUAACACAUGCAAGUCGAACGAUGAUCCCAGCUUGCUGGGGGAUUAGUGGCGAACGGGUGAGUAACACGUGAGUAACCUGCCCUUGACUCUGGGAUAAGCCUGGGAAACUGGGUCUAAUACCGGAUAUGACUCCUCAUCGCAUGGUGGGGGGUGGAAAGCUUUUGUGGUUUUGGAUGGACUCGCGGCCUAUCAGCUUGUUGGUGGGGUAAUGGCCUACCAAGGCGACGACGGGUAGCCGGCCUGAGAGGGUGACCGGCCACACUGGGACUGAGACACGGCCCAGACUCCUACGGGAGGCAGCAGUGGGGAAUAUUGCACAAUGGGCGCAAGCCUGAUGCAGCGACGCCGCGUGAGGGAUGACGGCCUUCGGGUUGUAAACCUCUUUCAGUAGGGAAGAAGCGUAAGUGACGGUACCUGCAGAAGAAGCGCCGGCUAACUACGUGCCAGCAGCCGCGGUAAUACGUAGGGCGCAAGCGUUAUCCGGAAUUAUUGGGCGUAAAGAGCUCGUAGGCGGUUUGUCGCGUCUGCUGUGAAAGACCGGGGCUCAACUCCGGUUCUGCAGUGGGUACGGGCAGACUAGAGUGCAGUAGGGGAGACUGGAAUUCCUGGUGUAGCGGUGAAAUGCGCAGAUAUCAGGAGGAACACCGAUGGCGAAGGCAGGUCUCUGGGCUGUAACUGACGCUGAGGAGCG
rnacentral:rRNA from 1 species